UGCAAGUCGAACGAGAGAGAGGGAGCUUGCUUCCUCAAUCGAGUGGCGAACGGGUGAGUAACGCGUGAGGAACCUGCCUCAAAGAGGGGGACAACAGUUGGAAACGACUGCUAAUACCGCAUAAGCCCACAGGUCGGCAUCGACCAGAGGGAAAAGGAGCAAUCCGCUUUGAGAUGGCCUCGCGUCCGAUUAGCUAGUUGGUGAGGUAAUGGCCCACCAAGGCAACGAUCGGUAGCCGGACUGAGAGGUUGAACGGCCACAUUGGGACUGAGACACGGCCCAGACUCCUACGGGAGGCAGCAGUGGGGAAUAUUGCACAAUGGGGGAAACCCUGAUGCAGCGACGCCGCGUGGAGGAAGAAGGUCUUCGGAUUGUAAACUCCUGUUGUUGAGGAAGAUAAUGACGGUACUCAACAAGGAAGUGACGGCUAACUACGUGCCAGCAGCCGCGGUAAAACGUAGGUCACAAGCGUUGUCCGGAAUUACUGGGUGUAAAGGGAGCGCAGGCGGGAAGACAAGUUGGAAGUGAAAUCUAUGGGCUCAACCCAUAAACUGCUUUCAAAACUGUUUUUCUUGAGUAGUGCAGAGGUAGGCGGAAUUCCCGGUGUAGCGGUGGAAUGCGUAGAUAUCGGGAGGAACACCAGUGGCGAAGGCGGCCUACUGGGCACCAACUGACGCUGAGGCUCGAAAGUGUGGGUAGCAAACAGGAUUAGAUACCCUGGUAGUCCACACCGUAAACGAUGAUUACUAGGUGUUGGAGGAUUGACCCCUUCAGUGCCGCAGUUAACACAAUAAGUAAUCCACCUGGGGAGUACGACCGCAAGGUUGAAACUCAAAGGAAUUGACGGGGG
rnacentral:rRNA from 1 species